UACGUAGGGUGCAAGCGUUGUCCGGAAUUAUUGGGCGUAAAGAGCUCGUAGGCGGUUUGUCGCGUCUGCUGUGAAAACUCGGGGCUUAACCCUGGGCCUGCAGUGGGUACGGGCAGACUAGAGUGCGGUAGGGGAGACUGGAAUCCCUGGUGUAGCGGUGAAAUGCGCAGAUAUCAGGAGGAACACCGGUGGCGAAGGCGGGUCUCUGGGCCGUAACUGACGCUGAGGAGCGAAAGCGUGGGGAGCGAACAGG
rnacentral:rRNA from 1 species